GACGAACGCUGGCGGCGUGCUUAACACAUGCAAGUCGAACGGAAAGGCCCUUCGGGGUACUCGAGUGGCGAACGGGUGAGUAACACGUGGGUGAUCUGCCCUGCACUUUGGGAUAAGCCUGGGAAACUGGGUCUAAUACCGAAUAGGACCACGCGCUUCAUGGUGUGUGGUGGAAAGCUUUUGCGGUGUGGGAUGGGCCCGCGGCCUAUCAGCUUGUUGGUGGGGUAAUGGCCUACCAAGGCGACGACGGGUAGCCGGCCUGAGAGGGUGACCGGCCACACUGGGACUGAGAUACGGCCCAGACUCCUACGGGAGGCAGCAGUGGGGAAUAUUGCACAAUGGGCGCAAGCCUGAUGCAGCGACGCCGCGUGAGGGAUGACGGCCUUCGGGUUGUAAACCUCUUUCACCAGGGACGAAGCGUAAGUGACGGUACCUAUAGAAGAAGCACCGGCCAACUACGUG
rnacentral:rRNA from 1 species